CUGCCACUAGGGAGGGAUCUUUUUCUCGUGAUUCCUUCCUUUGAAGUUUUCUACUGUAAGCUUAGGACACAAUUCCUACUUCAGAUCUAUGUGCUGAGGCUGAGUGAGGUUAUUAGAUAAAUGCCUGUGGCCUGAGAAGCCUGAGGGGUGGCUGUAAUGAGAAGAUUUCUACCAGCUGGUCCAAAAUCUUCAAGUUGCCUACCUGACUGCUGAAAGAAAGCCAAGAUGGGAACAAUAGCAAGAAGACAAAGCAAAGAUAAUCGGUAAUAGGAAAUCUCUUUGAUUCCACCUGUCAUUUCUGUUGUGACUGCCAUAUUCAGAAGCGUUAUAUGAGAGUAGCUCCAACACACUUCUGGUGCUAAGAAUGGUAGUUGACUUAAUGGGAGCCCUUUUUUUUUGCUUUAAGGAUUGUCUCCUUACUUCCUAUAAUGAAUGCUCCAGCAUGGGGUUUCUUCUAAAUUAGAAUGGUGGCUGCUGUGAGGCUUGCUUGGAGAGCAGAACAGCAGUGUCUCUGGAGUGUGCCUCUGUGGAAAGGACUGGGAAUUAUAGAGAGUCAGGAGUGAAGUGCUACAGCUGCAUAGACCUGUGCUUUCUUCCUUACUUGCAGAGCUCUCUUGAGAAGUAGAGCUCAUGGGAGAUUAGUAAGCUACUCUGUACCUGCACUGUAAAUAACCAGUUUCUUCUACUGGAGGGACUGCACUAGUUUAUUUAAUUCAUAUAAAAAUGGGGAUUGUGUAGUUUAUUAAACAACAACGGUAUAAUAGUACAAUAAGUAAUAGUAGUUUUACCACAAAAUUAACCUUCUGUAAACGCUCUGAAUCAGUGUCAUUGAGGUAGCUAUGGGGAGUUCAUUGUUAACAUUAUCUAAUUACAAAGAAUGCAGAAGUACUCAAAUAGUAGAGACCAAAGUACUCUGCAGUUUCUUUAAUAAAAGAGAAGUAAUGGUCUGUUUACAGGGGAAACUCUUGGUGCUGUACCUAUCCCUGCAUAGAUUUACUGUGAUGUUUUCCAGUCGUUGAGUUGAAGAUUUUGGAACACAGAGAGAGUGUUUAUGUCCAUGUUUUGCUGUUGAAUAAAAGUGGCUUUUUUUUUUUUU
ensembl:lncRNA